GACGAACGCUGGCGGCGUGCCUAAUACAUGCAAGUCGAGCGGACAGAAGGGAGCUUGCUCCCGGAUGUUAGCGGCGGACGGGUGAGUAACACGUGGGUAACCUGCCUGUAAGACUGGGAUAACUCCGGGAAACCGGAGCUAAUACCGGAUAGUUCCUUGAACCGCAUGGUUCAAGGAUGAAAGACGGUUUCGGCUGUCACUUACAGAUGGACCCGCGGCGCAUUAGCUAGUUGGUGAGGUAACGGCUCACCAAGGCGACGAUGCGUAGCCGACCUGAGAGGGUGAUCGGCCACACUGGGACUGAGACACGGCCCAGACUCCUACGGGAGGCAGCAGUAGGGAAUCUUCCGCAAUGGACGAAAGUCUGACGGAGCAACGCCGCGUGAGUGAUGAAGGUUUUCGGAUCGUAAAGCUCUGUUGUUAGGGAAGAACAAGUGCAAGAGUAACUGCUUGCACCUUGACGGUACCUAACCAGAAAGCCACGGCUAACUACGUGCCAGCAGCCGCGGUAAUACGUAGGUGGCAAGCGUUGUCCGGAAUUAUUGGGCGUAAAGGGCUCGCAGGCGGUUUCUUAAGUCUGAUGUGAAAGCCCCCGGCUCAACCGGGGAGGGUCAUUGGAAACUGGGAAACUUGAGUGCAGAAGAGGAGAGUGGAAUUCCACGGUAGCGGUGAAAUGCGUAGAGAUGUGAGGAACACCAGUGGCGAAGGCGACUCUCUGGUCUGUAAUGACGCUGAGGAGCGAAGCGUGGGGAGCGAACAGGAUUAGAUACCCUGGUAGUCCACGCCGUAAACGAUGAGUGCUAAGUGUUUAGGGGGUUUCCGCCCAUUAGUGCUGCAGCUAACGCAUUAAGCACUCCGCCUGGGGAGUACGGUCGCAAGACUGAAACUCAAAGGAAUUGACGGGGGCCCGCACAAGCGGUGGAGCAUGUGGUUUAAUUCGAAGCAACGCGAAGAACCUUACCAGGUCUUGACAUCCUCUGACAACCCUAGAGAUAGGGCUUUCCCUUCGGGGACAGAGUGACAGGUGGUGCAUGGUUGUCGUCAGCUCGUGUCGUGAGAUGUUGGGUUAAGUCCCGCAACGAGCGCAACCCUUGAUCUUAGUUGCCAGCAUUCAGUUGGGCACUCUAAGGUGACUGCCGGUGACAAACCGGAGGAAGGUGGGGAUGACGUCAAAUCAUCAUGCCCCUUAUGACCUGGGCUACACACGUGCUACAAUGGACAGAACAAAGGGCUGCGAGACCGCAAGGUUUAGCCAAUCCCACAAAUCUGUUCUCAGUUCGGAUCGCAGUCUGCAACUCGACUGCGUGAAGCUGGAAUCGCUAGUAAUCGCGGAUCAGCAUGCCGCGGUGAAUACGUUCCCGGGCCUUGUACACACCGCCCGUCACACCACGAGAGUUUGCAACACCCGAAGUCGGUGAGGUAACCUUUAUGGAGCCAGCCGCCGAAGGUGGGGCAGAUGAUUGGGGUGAAGUCGUAACAAGGUAGCCGUAUCGGAAGGUGCGGCUGG
rnacentral:rRNA from 1 species